UACGUAGGAGGCAAGCGUUGUCCGGAAUUACUGGGUGUAAAGCGCGUGUAGGUGGGAGGCCAAGUCUGUGGUGAAAUCGCCCGGCUCAACUGGGCGCAGUCCAUGGAAACUGGUCACCUGGAGGACGGUAGAGGCGAGUGGAAUUCCCGGUGUAGUGGUGAAAUGCGUAGAUAUCGGGAGGAACACCAGUGGCGAAGGCGACUUCCUGGCCUGUUCUUGACGCUGAGGCGCGAAAGCUAGGGGAGCAAACGGGG
rnacentral:rRNA from 1 species